rnacentral:lncRNA from 1 species
CUUUUUUCUCUCGCGCUCCUUCUUUUCUGCCUUCUUUUGGGCCACUGUCUUAAUUUUGAAGGAGGCGUCAUCAUCUUCAUUCCCACUUUCUAUGUUAGGACCUGGCUUGUUUUUCUGAUUUUUUUUCUGUCCUUUUCUAGAUUGCAAAAAUUCAUCUGAUUCAUCACCACUUUCACCAGAAGAAUUUAUUCUUGAACGCUCUUUAAUUUUUUUACUGUUAUCCUCAUCCUCCUCUGACCCAUCC